rnacentral:lncRNA from 1 species
UAGGCCGAUGGCUACAGCUCCGAUUAGACCCCUAGCCUUGGAACCUCCAUGUGCUGCGGGAGCGGCCCUAGAAAAGGCAAAAAGAUGAUCAAUCAAUCAAUCAAUCAAUCAAUAAAUAUAGAAUUUACUGAGUGCCUAAUCCUGGCCAGAUACUUUUCAGAUGUGAGUGGAUGGGACACAGAAUGUUUUUAUUUUUUGGAAUUGACACUGGAGGAAGGAGGAUUGGUGUUGAGACAGACAAUAUGUAAGUAAUAAACAAAUAGACACAGAUAAUUUCAGAUAGGUAUUUCUAUUUUUUCAUGACACUCUACCCAUCUAUUGAGUAUUUUACCAAGUACAAUAAAUAGAAAAAAAAAAGCAACAACUCAUACUUUAUGACUGAUAAAGAAGUUAAAACAACAAAUCUUCAAGAGAUGUUUUAUGUGUAUUUACGGUUUUCACAUUGUUAACGAGUCUAAGCUCAUUCUGCUCGCAGCAUGACAGGCAAAUAAAUAGGGAGUCAAGUUAUUGGGCAAGGAAUAACAACUUUUACUCUGAAAGCCAACAGACUGAGAAGAUGGAAGGCUAAUGUCUCAAAAAACCAUCUCCUCUCAGAAUUCGGGCUCCUUUUAUACAAGAAAGGGGAGUGGGGAGCAGGGGUGUGGUUAGUUGUUGCAGACUUCUUGGUGCAGAAAUCCUUUGUUCUUAUAAGCCCUCCAUCUAGGUCAGGUUCCUGUCAACCUCCAAUGAAACAAAUGGUAUUACUAUGUUCUGCAACUUUUUUUCUAAAGCUGUAAUACUCUUAAAGCUACAGCCUUAAGAAUAGGCUAUCUUGUAUAUUUCAUGCUAUAGACAGCAUCAUUUUGCAAAAGGUGUAGAAGCAGGAUGACUAAGCACAAGUGACAGAGGACAAAGGCAAAGGAACAUGUAAUAUGGAAUCAAGAUGGUUCUUCACUGUUAUAUGCUAAAGAGGGAAAAAGCUUUCUGUUUGGUUUGUCAGGUCAGAUGCUUGUUGAAAGGACCUGAGUUAAAGUGAGGACUUCCAUUGUGAGCUCUUGGUGGAGAAAUUAAGGGCCAGUUGCUUCUUUUACAAUGAUUUUAGUUUUGUGAGGUUUCUUUCUUUUAAAAGAAAGAGGAAAAAAAAUCUUUGUCCUAUAGGUAUAAAGCCAUUACUUGGACUAAUGGGGCAUUGAACUAACCGGAGGUACAAGGUGAACUCUUUUUAAACCUUUUUAUUGAUUCCUUUUGACUGUCAGGUUAAAGGAGAUGAGAUUAAAUGUAAUCCUUCUCCCCACCACCCUUCUUCACCACCCCAAGUAAUGUUUUCAUGCUUAGGAAAUGGCACUAAAAAAAAAGACACUUAUGUUUUCAUAUACUUUCUGUUUGCUAAGUGCAUUUAACUAAAAGUAAGAGACCAAGAGAAUACUGUGUAAUGGUAAAGUUUCUUGGGUACAGGUAACUGCAUAAGCAAAGGACUAUGAAUGGAUGAGCCACAUGUUGAGGGGAACUCAGUGUGGGUGGAAUGUGUCACAAUUCUCACUGCUUCAGUGUGAGAUUGAUUUAGGAGGUGUGAUCUAUUUGCAAAACCACUCUCAGGUCCUGGAAGCAGAGAAAGCCAGAGCCCAAGGGAACUGCCAGGAGCAUAGUUGGGGUAAGUCAAGUAUUUUUGGUAGAAGGAAGGAGUGUGGGCUGCCAACUGAGAUAAAGCUAAAGGCUGUUUAGCUGGGGUGGUGCUAGAGUUCCAAAGAUGGCUGGGAUCAACAGUGGGAGCUGGAAGAUGAGGCAUGGCCUUCUGGAUGCUCAGAACCAUCCUUGCUAUAUGCCACACUGGUGGUUUAAGAGCCUGGUCUCAACACAUAGUGGUAGAGGCAUGAGACAAAAAGAGGCAUGAGACAAAAGACAGGUUAGAGUAGGAACCUUCGUAUUGGUAUUUCUUAAAAUUAGAGCUAGAAAUUAAUGUAUAGAUUCUAUGCAAACCCAAUCAAAAUACCACUGUGCCUUUUUAUAGAAAUGGGCAGUUGAUUCUAAAAUUUAUUGGAAAUGCACAGGACCUUGAAUAGCUAAAACAAAUUUGAAAAUGAAGAAGAAUCAGGAGACUCAAACUUGAUUUCAAGACUUUCUCUACAGGUACAGUAAUUAAAGCAGUGAGGGCCACAAAAAUCUUGGUGGAGAGUGUUUGUAAUUGGUAAAAACUGAAAACAACUCAAAUCCAGACAUCAGAGAUGAUGUACUGCAUGAUUCCCCUUUUACAAAAUUCUGGAGAAAAUAAAAUUAUAAUGGUGGAAAUCAUUUGAGUAGUCUGUAGUCGCUAAGGAGAAAAUUGACCACAAGGGGCAUGAAAGAACAUAUUGGGUUAUGGAAAUGUUCUAUAACUUGAUUGUGGUGCUGCUUAUACAAUUGCAUUAUUUUAUUAUUUAUUGUUUUUUUGUUUUGUUUUUUUUUUGUUUGUUUGUUUGUUUUGGCUGCAACAUGAUGUGGGAUCUUAGUCCCCAGACCGUAAAUCAAACCUUGGCUGCAGCAGUGACAGUGCCAAGUCUUAACCACUAGGCCACCAGGGAACUCCCCAUUAUUUUAUUAAAUAAUCAAAAUGUAUGCUUAAAAUGAGUGAAUUUUAUUUUAUGUAAAUUAUGUCUUAAUGAAGUUGAUAUGAAAUGAAAAGGAGAGGUGGACCUUCUACUUUCCUCUUUGAAUUUAUGCCUAAAAUGAGGGUUUGGAAAGAUGUUCCUUUUAGUAGCUAUAACAUGUGAGUUUCCUAAGCAAUCUCUGAUAUGAACAUAAACUAGAAUAUUAUUGUAUUGCCUGAGUUUUGCAGCAUUGCAGGUGCCUGGAAUUAAUAACUUGGAGAACUUUUUUCUUUUUAAAAUAAAACAUUCAAUUUUUAGGAAGAUUUUCUGCUUGAGCACCUUGGGUAUCAGGCAAUGGCAUCAACUAAUAAUGUAUUUCACUUUAGCUCUGUUAGAGAAGGAUUUGAGCUAAGACUUCAGAGUUGUAAAGGAAAAAUGUUUUCUAGUCAAUGGAAUCCUGUCAAUAAAAUAAAUAUUUUGGGUAUGGUAAUACAAAAGAGGAAAAUUGCCCCAGGGAUAGAUCUCUUGGAUUGAGGAAGACUGAAGAAUUUGAGAACUGCCAAAGUUAUUAAAAUAUCUUACAUGCAAGCCCAAUCAGCAUUUUAGCUUCUUCACCAAAACAUUUCAAUUAAUUUUCCCUACUGUGAGUUAUCUCGAAAUACUCCCUGAAGAUAGAUACUAUCUUACUUGCAUUUAUAUUUCUCUCAGUUUCCAUUUGCACAUGGGGCUGUUUCUAGGCCCAGCAUACAUAUUUUGUUGAUCUAUAUCUGCUUUUUGGCCGUUCCAAAUGUAGGCUUUACUUUUUCUUCUAAUGCAACCCCUCAAAAUUUAUUUCUCUUCUCUCAAAUUCUUUCUGGUGACUCUUGUUCCAGAUGAACUGUAGACUUAAUUUAGCCAUAUCUAAAUAUUGGUGGUAAUGAAGGAAUUGGAGGCUGAUAAAAGUUUAAACUGACAUAGGCAGCAACACUGGAUUUUCUUUGCAGAAUGAUUCAACAUGAAACUGUGAUAAAGGAGAUGUUUUCUCUGAAGUAGGAAGAUGUUAAAUACAUCAUGCUGGAGCAAUGGAGUUGUAGGAAAGAUUUCAUUACAUAUAAUUUGGGUUUCCAUUUGCUUUGCCGAGGCUUGGGCAUGUAUUAGUUACAGCAGUAGCUCUAACAGGUUCUCAAAUCUCAUGUGUUCAACAGAAUAAAAUUUGCUUUUAGGUCACGCAAAGUUGCUCUUGCAAGUCCUGGUUGUCAUUAACAAAGCCAGGCUCCUUCUGUCUUAUAGCUCUGCAUUUCCAUGGCUUGGGAACAUAUUAGGAGUCAGGCUUAGAAGUGGUGUACAUCACGUCUGCCACAUUCCGUUGACUUACAUGCUUUCUUUUGUCUCCUCCUGCACUAUAAUGAGACAGUUUGGGAAAUUUACUCUAUUUUGAUCAUGAGCGAGAAAAGGGAACCAGGUUUGUUGCAGCAAUCAUUGUCUCUGUAGCAUAUAAGUGCCCUGCACACACUAAAUAUAAAUUCAAUUACUUUUUAAUUAGGACCCUCAGAAUGUCACCUCUCUGACCUGGAAUAAAAGUGACACAUAGUGAAGACAGAUUUGGAUUCUCCACCCUUGGAGGCAUUUCUGGUACUGACUGCAGUCGAUGUUGAGCCAAGAAAUGCUGCUCACCAGGCUGGUGAGAGAAAGUUCAAAUGUGUUUGCAUGUGUGUGUCACACUGAACUCACUGCCUCCGAAGCAUGUGGCAUUCCCUCUAGCAACAGUAAGAAAUUUUACUGCUGCCCAGUGAUGGAUGCACAUGGAAUUGAUAGAUGUGUGGAGGGGCAGGUUGCUAACCUUGAUGUUUUUGGAUUAAAUGUGGUAUGGGGUGUGACAGCAUAUGCAAAUCUCUUGUCCUGUUCCCCAUCACAUUGUUUCCUACAACAUAUUUAUCAAAUAAAUUUAGAAAACAUAAUCCCAUAGAUAAAACUUAAGUUAAACUUUUCAUUUUUGGUUCCCUCAGGAGGUUCCAUUCACAACUCUCACGGAAUCGCAUGGUGACCGUGACCCACAUUCUCGUUUUAUGCUUCCGUGUUUAUUUCUUAAUUUUUUUUUUUUUUUUGUCUUUUUGAGGGUCACACCCACAGCAUAUGGAGGUUCCCAAGCUAGGGGACUAAUUGGAGCUAUAGCCAUGGCCUACACCAGAGCCACAGCAAUGCUGGAUCCUUAACCCACUGAGCGAGGCCAGGGAUUGAACCCGUGUCCUCAUGGUUCCUAGUCGGAUUCGUUAACCACUGAGCUAUGACGGGAACUCCUGUGCUUCCAUGUUUAAACAUGAGAAUUGUUAUGUGGUAAUUUGCUUGAAGUUACUAACGCUUAGAGCUCUGG